rnacentral:rRNA from 1 species
UAGAGUUUGAUCUUGGCUCAGGACGAACGCUGGCGGCGUGCCUAAUACAUGCAAGUCGAGCGCGGGAAGCAAACUGAAGCCUUCGGGCGGACGUUUGUGGAACGAGCGGCGAAUGGGUGAGUAACACGUGGGCAACCUGCCUGUAAGAUUGGGAUAACUUGCGGAAACGUGAGCUAAUACCGAAUAAAGUUCUCGACCACCUGGUCGGGAAGUGAAAGAUGGCUCCGGCUAUCACUUGCAGAUGGGCCCGUGGCGCAUUAGCUAGUUGGUGAGAUAAAAGCUCACCAAGGCAACGAUGCGUAGCCGACCUGAGAGGGUGAUCGGCCACACUGGGACUGAGACACGGCCCAGACUCCUACGGGAGGCAGCAGUAGGGAAUCUUCCGCAAUGGACGCAAGUCUGACGGAGCAACGCCGCGUGAGUGAUGAAGGUUUUCGGAUCGUAAAACUCUGUUGUUAGGGAAGAACAAGUGCCGUUCGAAUAGGUCGGCACCUUGACGGUACCUAACCAGAAAGCCCCGGCUAACUACGUGCCAGCAGCCGCGGUAAUACGUAGGGGGCAAGCGUUGUCCGGAAUUAUUGGGCGUAAAGCGCGCGCAGGCGGUCUCUUAAGUCUGAUGUGAAAGCCCACGGCUUAACCGUGGAGUGUCAUUGGAAACUGAGGGACUUGAGUACAGAAGAGGAGAGUGGAAUUCCACGUGGAGCGGUGAAAUGCGUAGAUAUGUGGAGGAACACCAGUGGCGAAGGCGACUCUCUGGUCUGUUACUGACGCUGAGGUGCGAAAGCAUGGGUAGCGAACAGGAUUAGAUACCCUGGUAGUCC